CAUGCGAGAGUAAGAGGUGGGGAGCUUAUUAGUGCUGUGGAUAACAUACAGAGACUGGGACAUUUCACCGAAAAAUGAAUGACAGGCUUGGUCAGUUGACAGAGAACUCUGUCAAUUCAUGUAAAACUAUUGAAUUUAUAUAAAUAUGGGAUAUAUGACAUAUAAGCUGUUUAUAACUUUAAAACCGUGCUAAGAAAGCCUAUAGUAAGAAGGAUAUAUCCCCACUUAACUUCUUCCUAGCAGCCCCUGCUGUCUCACUUCUCAGAGACACUCUUGAAUCUUAACUAACUUCAGAUUUUUACCAUCAUAAUUUUAAAACCGCGAACUUCAUUCUCCAA
rnacentral:lncRNA from 1 species